GAUGAACGCUGGCGGCGUGCCUAAUACAUGCAAGUCGAGCGAACGGACGAGAAGCUUGCUGCUGGGAGGGUAGCGGCUGACGGGAGAGUAACAUGUGGAUAAUCUACCUAUAAGACUGGGAUAAAUUCGGGAAACGGGAGCUGAUAGCGGAUGAUAUUUUGGAACGCAUGGUUCAAGAGUGAAAGACGGUCUUGUUGGCAAUAAUAGAUGGAUGCGCGUUGCAUUAGCUAGUUGGGAAGGUAAUGGCUUACCAAGGCAACGAUGCAUAGCCGACCUGAGAGGGACGUCGCACACACUGUAAGUGAGGCUCGGUCCAGACUCCUGGGCGAGGACACGGUAGGGACUCCUCCGGGAUGGACGAGUGCGUGACAGAGCACCGCCGCGUGAAUGAUGAAGCAGUCAGGAUCGUAAAGCUCUGUUAGCAGUAGAGAUCAUAUGUGUAAGUAACUGUGCACAUCUUGACGGUAGCUGGUCAGAAAGCCCCGGCUAACUACGUG
rnacentral:rRNA from 1 species